rnacentral:rRNA from 1 species
AGCAGUAGCCGCGGUAAUACGUAGGGUGCAAGCGUUAAUCGGAAUUACUGGGCGUAAAGCGUGCGCAGGCGGUUAUAUAAGACAGAUGUGAAAUCCCCGGGCUCAACCUGGGAACUGCAUUUGUGACUGUAUAGCUAGAGUACGGCAGAGGGGGAUGGAAUUCCGCGUGUAGCAGUGAAAUGCGUAGAUAUGCGGAGGAACACCGAUGGCGAAGGCAAUCCCCUGGGCCUGUACUGACGCUCAUGCACGAAAGCGUGGGGAGCAAACAGGAUUAGAUACCCCUGUAGUCCCUGUCUCUUAUCA